GAGGGUAUAGCUCAGUGGUAGAGUGCAUGCUUAGCAUGCAUAAGGUCCUGAGUUCAAUUCCCAGGACCUCCA
rnacentral:tRNA from 1 species